rnacentral:rRNA from 1 species
GACGAACGCUGGCGGCGUGCUUAACACAUGCAAGUCGAGCGGUAAGGCCCUUUCGGGGGUACACGAGCGGCGAACGGGUGAGUAACACGUGGGUGACCUGCCCUCAGCUCUGGGAUAAGCCUGGGAAACUGGGUCUAAUACCGGAUAUGACUCCAUGACGCAUGCUGUGGGGUGGAAAGCCUUGUGCGGCUGAGGAUGGGGCCCGCGGCCUAUCAGCUUGNGGUGGGGUAAUGGCCUACCAAGGCGACGACGGGUAGCCGGCCUGAGAGGGCGACCGGCCACACUGGGACUGAGACACGGCCCAGACUCCUACGGGAGGCAGCAGUGGGGAAUCUUGCGCAAUGGGCGAAAGCCUGACGCAGCGACGCCGCGUGA